GGAUGUGAGGGUGACCUGGCUGUGACACCUGUCACCCCACUGGGUGCUGGGGUUGAUUCGGCCGAUCAGGCUGACAGGCAGGUGUCCCCUUCCUCCCUGUCCGUUCUAUGUGUCAGCUGCAGAGCGCAGGGCGGCCAUCCCCGGCAGAGGGGACUGUUCUUCGGUCAAGGGUAAGCUGAGCUGCCCUGCCAGAACCUCCAAACAACCUCUCAAAUACAUUGCUCUGAUAACAAGUAAAACUGCUGGAAUCUAAAAGUUUACGCAAGGCCAGUUAUAAACACUUAUUCUU
rnacentral:snRNA from 1 species